rnacentral:rRNA from 1 species
UACGAAGGGGGCUAGCGUUGUUCGGAAUCACUGGGCGUAAAGCGCACGUAGGCGGAUUGUUAAGUCAGGGGUGAAAUGCCAAGGCUCAACCUUGGAACUGCCUUUGAUACUGGCAAUCUCGAGUCCGGGAGAGGUGAGUGGAACUGCGAGUGUAGAGGUGAAAUUCGUAGAUAUUCGCAAGAACACCAGUGGCGAAGGCGGCUCACUGGCCCGGUACUGACGCUGAGGUGCGAAAGCGUGGGGAGCAAACAGA